rnacentral:rRNA from 1 species
GACGAACGCUGGCGGCGUGCUUAACACAUGCAAGUCGAGCGGUAAGGCCCUUUCGGGGGUACACGAGCGGCGAACGGGUGAGUAACACGUGGGUGACCUGCCCUCAGCUCUGGGAUAAGCCUGGGAAACUGGGUCUAAUACUGGAUAUGACUCCACGGUGCAUGUCGUGGGGUGGAAAGCCUUGUGCGGCUGAGGAUGGGCCCGCGGCCUAUCAGCUUGUUGGUGGGGUGANGGCCUACCAAGGCGACGACGGGUAGCCGGCCUGAGAGGGCGACCGGCCACACUGGGACUGAGACACGGCCCAGACUCCUACGGGAGGCAGCAGUGGGGAAUCCUGCGCAAUGGGCGAAAGCCUGACGCAGCGACGCCGCGUGAGGGAUGACGGCCUCGG